GACGAACGCUGGCGGCGUGCCUAACACAUGCAAGUCGAGCGGAGAUGUACUGAAGAUUUAUCGGAUGUACAUCUUAGCGGCGGACGGGUGAGUAACGCGUGGGCAACCUGCCUUUCACUGGGGGAUAACACAGGGAAACCUGUGCUAAUACCGCAUGACAUCACGUAGGGCAUCCUAUGUGAUCAAAGGAGAGAUCCGGUGGAAGAUGGGCCCGCGUCCAAUUAGCUGGUUGGUGAGGUAAAGGCUCACCAAGGCGACGAUUGGUAGCCGAACUGAGAGGUUGAUCGGCCACAUUGGGACUGAGACACGGCCCAGACUCCUACGGGAGGCAGCAGUGGGGAAUAUUGCGCAAUGGGGGGAACCCUGACGCAGCAACGCCGCGUGAAGGAAGAAGGUCUUCGGAUUGUAAACUUCUUUGAUGAGGGACGAAUAAAGUGACGGUACCUCAAAACAAGCCACGGCUAACUACGUGCCAGCAGCCGCGGUAAAGUCACG
rnacentral:rRNA from 1 species